CAGUCGCCACGGUAAAACGUAGGUGGCAAGCGUUGUCCGGAAUUAUUGGGCGUAAAGGGCUCGCAGGCGGUUUCUUAAGUCUGAUGUGAAAGCCCCCGGCUCAACCGGGGAGGGUCAUUGGAAACUGGGAAACUUGAGUGCAGAAGAGGAGAGUGGAAUUCCACGUGUAGCGGUGAAAUGCGUAGAGAUGUGGAGGAACACCAGUGGCGAAGGCGACUCUCUGGUCUGUAACUGACGCUGAGGAGCGAAGGCGUGGGGAGCGAACAGGAUUAGAUACCCGGGUAGUCCCUGUCUCUUAUAC
rnacentral:rRNA from 1 species